AUAUCAUGGAAUAAUUAAACUCGAGAAGGUCGGUUAACUAAACAUUUCCAUGAACUGAUUUACAUAUAAAAAGUAAAUGGAAAGUAAUAUAUGAUAUCUACAAGAUUUGCUUCUGUAUCUGAAUAAAUGCACCCGGAGGGUCGGAAUGGGGCAAAAAAGGAAAAACCUUAGAACGGUGCUGAUUUUGACAUAAAUGAGAAAAUAUAUUGCCAAUAUAGAGAACAUAAACAAAUACGCUAUUUGUACAUGAAUCAAAACUAAUGUGUCCAUAACAUAAAUGCAGGAUUUAAUUGAUAAUUACAUAUCAUUUGUUUUUGCCAAUAUAUAUCUCAACCGGAGCACGGCAAUCAUAAGCUUAGUUUUCUCCUCAGUCCAGACCAUGGCAGUCAUCAAGAGCAAUCGCACACAUGCCGUGGGUUCUUCAAUCUGCGUUGUUGUUAUGAUCAUCUCUUGCACUUUGAUCUUACCAACCUCUUGCUAUGAACUUGAUCGUCAUGAGGAGUGCAUGCCUACUCAAGUCUGCCAUUGGAACGUCUGCAAGAUCUUUUGCAGAUACAGCGGCCACCCUUGGCUUGGGGCCUACUGCAAGACUCAGCCAGGAGAUGUGAAACUAUGUUGUUGCAUUUAUUCCUGAAUCUCCAGUGAUGCAAGUUGUUGUUUGGGGCACUAAUAUAGCAGUUUCCUGUAUCCACCCGUUUGCGAUGCAGUCUCAAUAAAAGAGUUCUCUAGCGACUCAAUCAAUGAAUCAGUGCAUGAUCGA